rnacentral:rRNA from 1 species
GACGAACGCUGGCGGCGUGCUUAACACAUGCAAGUCGAACGGAAAGGCCCUGCUUUUGUGGGGUGCUCGAGUGGCGAACGGGUGAGUAACACGUGAGUAACCUGCCCUUGACUUUGGGAUAACUUCAGGAAACUGGGGCUAAUACCGGAUAGGAGCUCCUGCUGCAUGGUGGGGGUUGGAAAGUUUCGGCGGUUGGGGAUGGACUCGCGGCUUAUCAGCUUGUUGGUGGGGUAGUGGCUUAUCAAGGCUUUGACGGGUAGCCGGCCUGAGAGGGUGACCGGCCACAUUGGGACUGAGAUACGGCCCAGAGUCCUACGGGAGGCAGCAGUGGGGAAUAUUGCACAAUGGGCGGAAGCCUGAUGCAGCAACGCCGCGUGCGGGAUGACGGCCUUCGGGUUGUAAACCGCUUUCGCCUGUGACGAAGCGUGAGUGACGGUAAUGGGUAAAGAAGCACCGGCUAACUACGUG